rnacentral:sRNA from 1 species
AGGCUUGGCAACUCGGCGGUGAUGGCGGCGGCGGCUCAGCCCUGUUGGGUUGAGAAGUAAUACCAAUAGUUGCCUGAAUCUAUUGUGAGUGUGUGAGUGUGAGAAGUGUUCAUCCAAUUCGAGCUGUUAACAUGUUGCUGCUGCAUGAUCAGAGAGAAGGGUACAGAGAGAUUGUAUAGGAGGAAGAAGGAAAGGAAAAGGCAAAGCAACGUUGAGGAAUUUCAUCGUUUUCGCAAAUUAGGGAAUUUGUCGCAAGGUAGUGUUGCUCCCCUGCAAUAGGCAGCUUCUCUUUAGUCCCUAGGAGUGUAAGAUUCAAAUAGAAAUUAAUUUGAUAGCUACUCGUGCCACAAUUUUUGAGGUGCUUGAAUAUAGGUUGAAACCGUAUUUUCAAUUCUGGUGUUAAACCAUCCGGAUUCAGAUUAGUUGUCCUACAUAAAAUUUGUAGUCAUUGUCGAUAUCUUUCUAACACCGCAGGUUUCGCUUGAUUCCGAUAAGCGGUUUAGGAGAAACAACAGAAACAGUACUGCUGACUGGGUCCGGAAACCAGGACAACAAUUUGUUUUCCUUAAUCUGGGAUUUCCAGAGCCAUAAUCUGAUUUUUCGCCCAACAUGAAAGUUGUAGACAAUUUUAUCUAGAUGUCCAAAAUUGUAUUAUUUGCUAGAUUCUGUUAGACGGUUUGCGAGUUAAAAAAAACAGUAAGGAAACUGCUAUAGGUUAUUCAAUACAAAUCGGUUAAAAGUUUAUAUGUUCUAGGUUAUUGAUUUUAGUAGAUAUCCCUUGUAACUAUCAUAAGUUGGAUAUAGUGGUUUAUGCGUAGUUUUGCUCUACAUGUGUGGAGGGUUCCAACGUUGGAGGAGUUGAGUCAGAGUAUCGAAGGAGUUAAGGCAAGUACAAGACGGAUUUAUGUGAUGGACGAACUGAGUUGUUUUGUUUGGUUUUACUUGCAUAAUUAUUAUUUAAUUGCUUGAUAUUAUUGAUCGUAUGGCUCUGAUGUUGUGCUACUUAAUCAUGUUUCAAUCCAUAUUUGAAUUUAUGAUGUUAUUCAUGUUUUAUUAUUCCGGAUGUUUUUGUUUACAUUAUUCAAGAACCAUGCGUAGCCAUGGGAGUGCAAUUUGGGUCUUUAUUCAUGAUCCUUGAGAAACGCUAAUCACGCUUGUUCGGCUUACCGGUAAUGCUAAGAGGAUAUUUGUACCUGCCCGGGAGGGAACUACUAUCUUUUGACUUCUUUGUUUUAGAAUAAAGUAAAUCCAACCUUUCAUAUUGGUUUCUUAUUGCAUUAAACCUGUGUAUGUUUUACUAGUUCAAUAUUGUAGUUGCUGAGUAUUCUUUACUCACUCCUGUGUUUAAUUUGGUUUUUAGGUAUCUAAUGACAUUGAUCAGCAUGGGAUGGGAGUAGCACUCUUGAACUACGCAUUAUUAUUGCACACUAUUGAUAUUUAGUUUUAGACUAUGUUUCUGCUUAGCGUAAGUUUUGCGUAGAACUUGUAAAUGUCAUUUAAAGUUCUGGUCCUUAUUUUCAUGUGGAAUUUGUGGAGCUAGGAUGGGUUGGAUUAUGUGGUUUAUAUCGUUAUUAAGUUAUCUUAUAACUGCCUGUCGUGGAUGCUCGUAUUUUUAGGGGAGACUCUACCGAAAUUUCUAAUAAUUUUGGGAGUUAGUGGUUUUUGAGUGUAUUUUGGUGUGGCACUCUAGGUAGGUGGCUACCUGGAGUGUUACACCGUCGUCCUCGUCGCCGCUGUCGUCUCGCCACCGCUGCUCCCGUUGUCGUCGCUGUCAUUGCACUGCCACCGCUCCCGUCAUCGUCGCCGCGCAGCCGCUCGUGGUCACCGUCAUCCUUGUCGUCACCAUCGUUGCGCCGCCGCUGCUCCCGUCGUCAUCGCCGUCGUUGUGCAGCCGAUCGUGGUUGCCGUCGUCCUCGUCGUCACCAUUGUUUCCAUUUAUGAUGGAUAAAAGAUCAAAAAAGAAUUGAUGGAUGAAAAUUGUAUUACUUAGAGAUGUGGUUCAAAAACUAUUUAUUGGUUUUUACGAAUAUAUUAUAACAAACAUUUAAAUUGUUGGGAGAAUUGUGUCGUGCCAAAAUCUAUAUAAUCUAUAAUCUAUAGUGGCAGAGCCACCUCUAAGACAGGUUGCCACUAUCCAUAGAAGUCGACAUCUAUAAAAAAAACUAAUCGAUAAUCGAAAACACUAUUAGUUGUUCAGGCUUGACGACGCCACUAGCUCCACCACUAAUACUCCGUAAAUCGAAUCGACUAUAUUCUAUGAAAUGAUUUUUUUUAAAAAAAAAUAUCUCAUUUGGUCAAUGGCGUUUUAUCACUGUUCUUUUAUUUCUUUAAAGAAAUUGUUCGCAUUAAACAAACUUGUUUUUUUUUUUCUUCACACGGACUUACCCAUCACCCGUUCGUCCGCCGGAAAAUUCCCCUCGUCUCUUCCAUGUUCCAUCACCGCCAGGCGCUAGCUUUUCACCUGCAAGAUCUCGAGGUAGAGUGGUAGACCACAGCCCGCCGGAUUCUUGCGAGCAGCUUCCCAUCGCCCUGCCUUGAUCUGUGCUGGCCUGCGUCCCAUCCCCGUGCUGCCGCGCGCGAUCCCUCCUGGCCUGGGGCUGGAUUUGUGGAUACUUUGUACAGGGUUGCAGUUGCAGAUUUGAUUAUUUCCAGAUCGAGGACGGAUGGUUGCGGCCAAUGCCACCGUCAUGGAUAGGGUUCCUUCUGUGUGGGAUCGGCCAUUUUGCAUCAAGGUAUAUAUCAAAGUCACAGCCAGUAAUGUUUAGCAAGGCAUUAUCAAGAGUAAAAGAUCUCCCUGGGGCUUUCCAGGACAUGUUAUAAUCUUUGGUACCUGGACUUACUGGGAUUGCAUGGGAAAAAUCAACGGUGACAUACAUAAAUAGGUAGUUUGAGGUGCUACCGUAUACAAUAGCAUCAAUAUCUUCGAUAACCUCUGUCCCACCCUGCAGGAAGAGCCUAGGUGGUUGUGCGGUGUUGUCACAGGUGAGAUUGAAGUCUGGGUUCCUGAAGCAGCCAGAACCAAUGCCGAAUGGGUAGUCGAAGCUCAGGUUGCCGCAGCUCCGUGGGCAGCCUUCCAGAGUGGCCGCAGAAGGAAGAAUGGUGCUGUUGAUACCUUGAUUUCCUGGCACGCUGGAUGAUCUCACAGUUGGAUUCACUGCAGAAAACAAGACGAAUAGGAGCAGAGGAACCACUGAACUGAAGGGGCUCAUGUCGAUCAUCUUUAUAGUGCUUAGCAUUGUUGCCCUAGAGAAGUUUCAGAGCUUGAGCUGUGAAAAUAUGUGGGAGAACCGGAGAAGCAUUGCAAAUGAGUACAAUGGGUUUUCAUCCAUAUCUAGGUCAUGGUCUUGCUGCUUUAUAAGCAUCUGGAGUCUGGACAGGGCCACAGGGGCCACUGGGAAAUGUAAAAGUCAGUGAUUGUCAAUACUGCAAGAAAAUUGUCAAGGUUUACUGCAAGACUACUUACAGCGAUGAGGGUUGGUAUCAGGUAUGUCACUUCAAUCAGUUCCACUAUUAAUUUUACAUGUGAACCAAAACUUUGCUCUCUCUUUCCACCUGGCUUCCAUUCUUUCAAUCACCAUCGUUGACUGACUGGGCAAUAUAUGGCUCUAUAUUGGAAGCAUCUUCUCACCUUUAUUCAACAUUAAAGUAGCCAAUUGCAGCUAGUAAUUGAUUCCUGGAGUCCUGGUCAGUCAACAUUCUAGCUUUCUAAGCCAUUCAAAAUGUCCAAAGCAAACUCAUGAAUGUGGCGAGCACAUUUUCCACCAUGCCGUUGAUGCUGACAGCAUUGGGAACUGAGUGCCAACCAGCGUAAGUUUCUAACCCAUGGAGCGGGGAGUCGAACAGUUUGAUCGUGGGAGUCUGGAUCUGGCUUAGUGUUCAAGUACAUGAUUUUGACAGGUAGAGCAAACACUCGACACAUGUUUACAUUUGAAGAAUUAGUUUAGAUUGCUGAAAUAUGUUGGAGAAUAUUCUUUUAGCAAUUUUUACAGAGUCAUUAAUAGAACAAUAACCUUAGCAAUUUUGCUUGUGUUGUCUAUUGCUCGCUAUUUCUGAGCCUGGAUGGAACACUAAUGGUGAAUAUCGAUGCAAGGUUUUUAUCCGGUUCACGUCAUACUGCAGGAUAUAGUGACUGAAGUGUGAAACUGUCUUUCCUGGAGAUUACCCCUGCAUUGCUCAUCCAGUGGAGGAAACAGAGUUCACUGCUUGUUACUUGUGAAGUCGAUGAAGGCAGUUGAUGGUAGCAGUUCACCAAGGUCAGGCAGAGUGACUGACCCAGCGGCUAUUCAGCAAUCCGUGCUAAUUAAGUGAUUGUAAUAAAGCUCUCCAUUUCCUGGAAAAGAAGUUACGAAAGAAAGGUGCAACUGAAAUUGGUUAAGGUUCUUCGAAUCCGGUGGAACACCUGCCUACUUCAACCACUGGUUUAGAACCUAUGCUAACGAACUACAUUCUGCUGAUUUGAUUAUGUUCUAAGCUUUUCGUCGAGAUGGCAUCAAUUACUUUGCAUCCAUUCAACGCAAGAGUAUGUACAAAUAUACUGUCUUGAUGUCCGUUGCUGUUUUGAUGUGCCUAAAUUAACCGACUUACUCCC